AUAAUUAAAACAUAGCUUUCCCGGUUUUUGGACUAAGAUCAAGUGAAGUAUGGUGAGUUUUAACCUGCACGUGGUCAAAUGAGGUUAAUGGAGAACCUUUUACCUCUGAUACAGGUUGUUCCAAGCAUAGGAAUGGCAUCCUCCUCUGUAUGUUCUAGAACUGAUUAUCGAAGAUAAUAAAUUGAUCCACUAAAGAAGACAAAUCCAACUUUCAAGCCAAAAUUGUAAAGUUAGGAUUAUUGUGAAAAGGGAUAAGAAGAUGGAAUAUGUGUUAACCUUUGUGAAUAUCCAACACAACCAUGCUAUUAGUCCUAGCAUGACAAAGACCCUGAGAAAGAAUAGGGAACUAAGCUUGCAUGCCAAACGGAUAGCUGAGAUCAAUGACCAAGCUGGUGUUACAAUGAGAAACACCACAAUUAUAUAUUUUAAGUUAAUUAUAUAUACUUUGGUUUUUGCAUGUGUUUGAUGGAUAGGGAUAGGUAGAAUAGAAUGAAUUUGCUGCUGCUGUGCAUAAUAUAUUGAGUUUGAUUAUGUACUCUUGUUUUUGCAUAUGUUUGAUGUAUAGGGAUAGGUAGAAUAGAAUAAAUUUGCUACUACUGCUCUGCAUGAUAUACUAAGUUUGAUUGUUUGAUUUAGUCAGUUUGAUUAUGUUCUCUUGUUUUUAUUAUAGGUAUGAUAUGCCUUUUGUCUCAUUUGUUGGGGUUAACCACCAUGGCCAAUCAUUGCUACUUGGUUGCGCUCUUCUUUCAUGCGAAGAAGAGAGUUCCUUUGUUUGGUUAUUUGAUUGUUGGAUACGAUGUAUGGGUGGCAAGCUGCCUAUUGGCAUAUUGACGGAUCAAUGCAAAGUUUUGCGGAAUGUCAUUGAAAAAUCAUUGCCAAUGACACAAUAUCGAUGGUGUAUUUGGCAUAUCAUGAAGAAAAUUUCAGCAAAAAUAGGAGCAUGCAAGCAAUUUAACGAGAUUAGUGCUGACAUUACACAUAUUGUGUGGGAUUCUAGAUCUAAGGAAGCAUUUGAGAGCUCUUGGAUUGAUUUUAUCAACAGAUUCAGUUUGCAUGAUAAUAAUUGGUUAGCAGGUUUGUACGAAGAACGUGACAGGUGGGUCCUUAUUUUUCUUAGUAACAGUUUUUGGGUAGGCAUGCGUAUCACUCAAAUGAGUGAAAGCAUGCAUGCAUUUAUGAAGGGCUACCUAACCUCAAAGAGCAACUUGCAACAAUUUGUAACACAAUAUGACAACCGUCUUGCAAAUAAAGCUCAACAAGAAUAUGAAUUGGAUGUUGCCAGUUUCAAUACCAUUAUCCCUUGUGCAACUGCCUCUGCUAUUGAAAAACAGUUUCGGUUGUGCUAAACAUGCAUACCACAUUCAGCCACUAUUUUCAGCCACUGUAUUUAUAUAUGUAUACAAUACAAAAUACAAAAUUCAAAAAUUAAAAAUAAAAACCCCACUCUCAACCUUACUUUCACGCUCUGAAACAAUGUUCUUCUUUCUCCUUCCCUUACUCUCACUUUCACUCUCCGACGCGACUCCUUCCUCAUCCUCAUUCUCAACGGUGAUUCUCCUUCCCUUUCUCUGCGGCGGCACGAUUCUCCUUCCCUCUCUCUCCAGUGGCACGAUUCUCCUUUGCUCUCUUUCAGGCACGGUUGCGAUUCUCCUACCUCUGUCUCAGGCGUGGUGCUCUCUGUCUCAAGAACGAAUUUUAUCGACGGCAUUUUCCUUGUUUGAUUCUGCAAGUUGUUUAAUUUUCUAGUUUUGAAAUAUGCAAGAGAAGACUGCACCAAAACGAGUAGAAAGAGAACCAGAAAACAGGGACACCAAAGAAAAUAAAAGAAAAAAUGUAUCCAAAGAAACUUUGAAGAAGAUGGAGUGGAGAAAGGUGACUUACUCAAGGAGGUAACUAAAGAGCAUGAGCCCAUGCUUUUAGAGUUCAAGAAAAAAAGUCCAAAUGCUUUGAGACAAAUCAUAUUAGAAAAUCCAAGAGGGGGUCCCAGAUUUAGGAGAGCUUUCUUGUUGUAUACAUUUAUAACAUUUUUGUUACUAAUAAAUACAAAAAUAGCUCGGGAUAAAAUUUUUCUAUUUGUAAUUGAUGUUGAUAAUCCAAUGAAGUACAAUUAGAUUAGAUGCAUUGUUGAUGGCCUUGCUGAUAGAGUUAACAACUUUAAAGAAGAAGUGGUGUCAAGUUUGAAUGGGUGCAUAUAUGUGCUUCAGAUUUUAUACUUCCAUAAGCAAAAAUAUGGACCCUUUGAUUUUGAGAAAGAAGCACAACCGCCUUGGCUUCCCCAUUGGAUAAAGGAACUCAUUUCUGCCCAAAUAGCAUUAGAAAGAAAAAGUUCAUCGGGGCUGGUUAGGUCAAAAGAAGAGCAACUUGUGCCUAAACAGCCAGUUCGACCAAAGAAAAGCGUUGUGAAAGAGGCCACCAAAGUGGAAAAAGAGUAAAGUGAAAAGAAAAAAGUGGUAGACAGCCCUAAGAAGGAUAAAAAAGAAUUGAGGUAAGAAGAUUCUACAAAACCAACCAAAGUGAAAAGACAACAAAAUGGAAAGAGAAAAAUAGUAGACAGUCCUAAUAAGGACAAAAAAGAAUUGAGGCAAGAAGACUCUACAAAUCAAAGAGAGAAAAGAAGCAAGAAGGAGGAGCAAACACAAGUUCCAAUGAAAACCGGAAUGAAAAGAAAACACACUCACCAUCAAUUCCUACCUUCGACCUUGGAGUUGAAUUUCCUCCAACACCUCCAGCACCUCCAACACCUCUAACAGCUACGACCUUGGAUUCAAUUGAUGUUCCAACCCAGCAAGUGUUGGGUUCAAAGAUAACAUGCCUAAAUCAAACAACAGAUGUACCAAUAGAGGUGUCAGAACCAAUUGUUAAGGAAUUAGUAUUGGAUGCUAAUAUGACUGAAAAAUUAUACGAGUGGGUGAUGGACGAAAGGAAAGAUGAAGAGAAGAUUGUGGCAACAUUUAAUGGCCAGCACAAUGUCUUCCUUAAAAGGACUAAUGCGCAAAGAUUAAAGCCACGAAAUGAUAUAGAUAAUUGGGUUAGUAACACAAUAUUUUGUUUAGUAUAAAGUAUUUAUUUUAUUCUUGAACUAUUUGAUUAUUAAUUGUUUGCUUUGCUUGUAUCAAGGUGGUCAACUAUUAUUGAUGCAUGCUUAAUGAAUUACCACAAACAAGAUUCAAGAAAGAUAUAUAUUACAUGAAUUCAGACUCAACGGUAAAAAAUUUUAUUAUGUAUCUCUUCGUUUUUUUAUUUGACAGAUUUUAUUCUAUUCUAAUUUAUCAUCAAUUUGAUUUUAAUUGCGGUUAUUGAGUUUUUAUAAAGAUGCGCAAAGUGGGAAGAGCAUUACAUCAGUUGACAUAUCUAGGAUCCCUAAUUUUAUGAAAAUUAGGAUGCGAGGAAGAAAACUUAUUUUCUUACCUUUUUGCCAUAACCGUCAUUGGUGGUUAUAUGCAUUAGAUGUUUGUAAUAACAUGUUUUACGUCCUCGACCCAUUGUACACAUCUUAGACUGCUGAACGGAAUGAAAUAGAUCAAUAUGUUGUAAGUUUAUUUUGUUAUAACAACUUUUAUUUAGGUCUUGAUAUUUGAUUAUCAUAUAAUUUUGACAAUUUCAUGACAUUUUUUAACAAGCAAGUUAUCUUGACAACAUGUUAGGAAUUGUGGAUCCUGCAUAUGUUCAAACUCCAUCAACUCCAACAAUUGAAUAUCUAAACGUACCCAAACAACCAAAUUUGCAUGAUUGUGGUUUGUUUGUAAUGAAAUUGAUGGAAUCAUGGCAUGGCUUUAGAUGGUUCCCACAAUUCCAUUCAUUUCAUUACAAACAAACCACAAUCAUGCAAAUUUGGUUGUUUGGGUAUGUCCAGAUAUUCAAUUGGUGGAGUUGAGGGAGUUUGAACAUAUGCAAGAUCCGCAAUUCCUAACAUGUUGUCAAGAUAACUUGCCUGUUAAAAAAUGUUAUGAAAUUGUCAAAGUUAUAUGAUAAUCAAGACCUAAAUAAAAGUUGUUAUAACAAAAUAAAUUACAACAUAUUGAUCUAUUUCAUCCCGUUCAGCAGUCUAAGAUGUGUACAACGGGUCGAGGACGUAAAACUUGUUAUUACAAACAUCUAAUGCAUAUAACAACCAAUUACGAUUAUGGCAAAAAGGUAAGAAAAUAAUUUUUCUUCCUCGCAUCCUAAUUUUAUCAAAAUUAGGGAUCCUAGAUAUGUCAGCUAAUGUAGAGCCCUUCCCACCUUGCCUAUCUUUAUAAAAACUCAACAACUGCAAUUAGAAUCAAAUUGAUCAUAAAUUAGAAUAGAACAAAAUCUGUCAAAUAAAAAAA